rnacentral:rRNA from 1 species
UGGGGAAUAUUGGACAAUGGGCGCAAGCCUGAUCCAGCCAUGCCGCGUGAGUGAUGAAGGCCCUAGGGUUGUAAAGCUCUUUCACCGGUGAAGAUAAUGACGGUAACCGGAGAAGAAGCCCCGGCUAACUUCGUGCCAGCAGCCGCGGUAAUACGAAGGGGGCUAGCGUUGUUCGGAUUUACUGGGCGUAAAGCGCACGUAGGCGGACUUUUAAGUCAGGGGUGAAAUCCCGGGGCUCAACCCCGGAACUGCCUUUGAUACUGGAAGUCUUGAGUAUGGUAGAGGUGAGUGGAAUUCCGAGUGUAGAGGGGAAAUUCGUAGAUAUUCGGAGGAACACCAGUGGCGAAGGCGGCUCACUGGAGCAUUACUGACGCUGAGGUGCGAAAGCGUGGGGAGCAAACAGG